UACGUAGGGUGCAAGCGUUAAUCGGAAUUACUGGGCGUAAAGCGUGCGCAGGCGGUUUUGUAAGUCUGUCGUGAAAGCCCCGGGCUCAACCUGGGAAUUGCGAUGGAGACUGCAAGGCUUGAAUCUGGCAGAGGGGGGUAGAAUUCCACGUGUAGCUGUGAAAUGCGUAGAGAUGUGGAGGAACACCGAUGGCGAAGGCAGCCCCCUGGGUCAAGAUUGACGCUCAUGCACGAAAGCGUGGGGAGCAAACAGG
rnacentral:rRNA from 1 species